UAUUGUAAAGAUAAAAAUUGUCCACUAAGAUAAAAAUAAUAAAAAUUGUCCACUUUUUGAUUGAAAAGACAAAAAUACCCUCCUUCAAAUAUACUACUCUCUCUCUCUCCACUCUCUUUCUCUCUCUUCUCCCUCACGGCCCUUCCCCCUUCUCUCUCUCUCUCUCCCUCCCUCCCUUCGAUCUCAGAUCGCCGCCUCGGCCUCGUCGCCUCCACCAUCGCCCCCGGCCUCGUCGUCUCUGCCCCGGCCUCGUCGCCUCUGCCAUCUUCUGCUUCACCCCUCGCCGCGAAGCGCUUCGCCUCAAAUACUCCGCCGCUUCAAUCACCGCCGGUCUCGCUUCGUCUCGCCUUCGUUCUGGAUCUCAGCGAUUUUCCGGCCGAUCUUGCGCAUGAUUUGCUGGCGCCACUUGUUGGCCUCCGCUAGGUCGCGGCACUCCGACUCCAGGUAGGGGCGGUCCUCUUUCGGCUUCUUCUUCUCCACCACCAUCGCGACGCACAGCGAAGUCGAUCUUCUCAAGUUUCAACUGAGUUAUGUCCGACGAAGAGAAGCCAGAUCCGCCGGCCAUCCAGAUUCAGGAAUCGAGGGAGCGCUCGAAUUUGUUCUGCGAAAUCGGAGAUAGCAAGCUGCUAUUUGGAGAAUUACAAUGCUGAAUUUACUGAAGAUUCUGCAACAGCUCUAGUUCUUGGGGUUUUGGGGUGAUUUACAGGCGGUGCGGUGGUGACGGAGAUGGAGGGUGCGGCGAAGAAGAGGCGAUUUGUGAGGCCUUUCAAUUAGGGUUCAGGUCAUGGAGGAGGUCCUGGGGGUGGUGGUGGUCUAGGAGGAGGAGGCGGUUUGGGGGGUGGAGCUAGUGGCGGAGGCGGUUUAGGAGGCGGCGCUGGUGGUGGAUUAUGUCAUGGAGGUGGCAUUGGGCACGGUGGUGGUCUAGGGGGAGGAGCUGACGAGGCUGUCGUUCGAGUGCUGUCGGGGCCGGUGGCGCUCCUGGAGACGGAGGUUAUACUGUUUCUCUCUCAUUGUAGAGAAAUAAAGACUAUCAAUGUGCUGCUGCUCGGAUUGCCGGCUCCGGCCAUGGAGAAGUUCGAGCAGCUUCUCCCAUAUAUGAUGUAUCAUUGACUUUAAUUAUUGUUAUUCAUCCACCUUCAUUUGUGUGGCAUUUGUUUUUUGUUGCUGGAGAAUAUAACCAGAUCAUUAAUGUUAAUUUGUUUUUUAAAUAA